rnacentral:rRNA from 1 species
AUUGAACGCUGGCGGCAGGCCUAACACAUGCAAGUCGAACGGUAACAGGAAGAAGCUUGCUUCUUUGCUGACGCGUGGCGGACGGGUGAGUAAUGUCUGGGAAACUGCCUGAUGGAGGGGGAUAACUACUGGAAACGGUAGCUAAUACCGCAUAACGUCGCAAGACCAAAGAGGGGGACCUUCGGGCCUCUUGCCAUCGGCUGUGCCCAGAUGGGAUUAGCUAGUAGGUGGGGUAACGGCUCACCUAGGCGACGAUCCCUAGCUGGUCUGAGAGGAUGACCAGCCACACUGGAACUGAGACACGGUCCAGACUCCUACGGGAGGCAGCAGUGGGGAAUAUUGCACAAUGGGCGCAAGCCUGAUGCAGCCAUGCCGCGUGUAUGAAGAAGGCCUUCGGGUUGUAAAGUACUUUCAGCGGGGAGGAAGGGAGUAAAGUUAAUACCUUUACUCAUUGACGUUACCCGCAGAAGAAGCACCGGCUAACUCCGUG